GCCGAGCCGGGCGGGAGCCGCUCCCGCCCCGCGGAGCACCGGGUGCGCGGGCAGAGGCGUUGGCGGUGCGGAGGGGUGCGCGGUGGUGCGCGCCUGCUGACACUCGCUGCGUCCCGCGGGGCUGGAGAUGCUCCCACGCGGGGCGGUGUUGCGGGGCGCCGCGGCGACCUUCGCCGACGACGUGCUGCGCGUCUUCGGGGCCAACCACAGCCUGUCAGCCGGGCAGCUGUCCGCGCUGCUGCAACGGCUGGGCGCUGCGCCGGCCCUGGGCGCGGUGCUGCCGCUGACCCACCUGCACCACAACCAGUGCUUGACCGGUGAGGAAAUUUUUUCUUUGCAUGGGAUACCAAACAACAGUCAUGUAUCAAAUUCAAGCUUCUCUACAAUAUGUCCUGCUGUUCUGCAACAACUGAUUAUUCACCCAUGUGAUCAUCAGGAAAACCUUGUUGAUACGUCUAAACCACAUUCUUUGCAAGUUUGGGGAUUUGGGUUCCUGGCUGUGUCUAUCAUUAACUUGGCAUCGCUUCUGGGAUUGAUUUUAACUCCCCUCUUGAAGAAGUCAUAUUUUCCCAAGGUUUUAACCUACUUUGUGGGCUUGGCCAUUGGUACUCUCUUUUCUAAUGCAAUUUUCCAGCUCAUUCCAGAGGCAUUUGGCUUUGACCCCAAAGUAGAUAACUAUACUGAGAAAGCCGUUGCUGUGUUUGGUGGAUUCUAUAUCCUCUUCUUUGUGGAAAGGAUUCUUAAAGUGACAUUGAAGAUCUAUGACCAGACUGGCCAUAAUGACUCCAAAAAUGCUGAACAGAAUCAUUCUCAGGAUAAGACUAACCCACCCAAACCACUAUCAUCCAGCAAUGGGGGGACGUGUUAUGCAAAUUCAGCCGUCAUAGAGAGCAAUGGAAAUCUUGGUUUUGACAGCAUCAGUGUGGUCUCAGCACAGGAGGAAGUCACCCAAGGCAGCUUAUGCAAGUGUCUUAAGGGUCGUCCUCUGUCAAAGAUUGGGACCAUUGCUUGGAUGGUGACACUGAGUGAUGCUGUACAUAAUUUCAUUGAUGGUUUGGCUAUCGGCGCUUCUUUCACUUUAUCUCUGUUUCAAGGGCUUAGUACCUCCAUAGCCAUCUUGUGUGAAGAGUUUCCUCAUGAACUAGGGGAUUUUGUCAUCUUACUUAAUGCAGGAAUGAGUACUCGGCAGGCUCUGUUUUUCAACUUUCUGUCUGCAUGUUCCUGUUACAUUGGCCUGGCUUUUGGUAUAUUAGUAGGAAACAACUUUGCUCCGAACAUCAUCUUUGCCGUCGCUGGUGGAAUGUUCCUGUACAUCUCUCUGGCAGAUAUGGUGCCCUCUCACAGAUAGCGCCUGGAUCCUGCCUGGAGCUCUGUGACAACUGACCUGCGGGGAAGCGUCCCUUCAUCUCUUCUGCUACAGGAACAAGCAGAAAAGACACCAGGUGACUUCAGCUGCAGUGAAGGGAACAGCUCUGGGAGGAAAGCCCGUCUAGGAGCGGUGAUUUUUCAGGUCAUGCUGUAAGACUGACCUAUUGAGUGUUAUGAGAGCUUCGGAGGAGGGGACACGGAGCAAGGGCCUUGGAGGAUCAGCAGGAGCAGAGCAGGUACCUGUCAUUUUGUGGGGUGGGCAGCAUGCUGCAGUGAGCAGGAGGGCAGCUGGCUCCAGAAAUGAGACGGUUCUCCUUUACACAGGAGAAGGGUGGUUGAAAAGACUUUGCUGAAGAUUCUCCAUCUUCAGCACCACAAAAAUAGUGCUACAUCAGUACAGUGUGUCAUCCCCCCAACUUGGAAAAGGGGGAGGAGGCAAAUUGAGUCAAAGUAGCUUAGCUAACAAAGCCUUUAAAAUUACAUUUGUCUUGAGGAAUGAAUUCUAUCGUUUUGUCAAUGUGAACAAAUAUUGUUUAAUCCCUUUUAUAAUUCUAAUAAUGCAAAAUUACAAAUACUAAUCUUAUCUAAAACAUGGCAAACUUUAAGUUUAGGACCUUAAAGUUUAAAAUUUAUCUGAAGGAAAGGAAACUGAAGAAGAAAAUUUAACUCUUGACUUUUGGAGCUGUGCAGCACAGUGUUCUUGCACAGAUCAAUGGACUGAAGAAAUGCAGUGCCUAAGAAAACCGCAGGAUCGGAAAUUUGUUGAAGAUCUUAAGGAGAAGAUAUGUACAUGCAUUAACAGAAAUCCUUGUUCUUGGCCUCAAACUUUUAACAGCAAUCAUCCUUCCAUGCAUAAGAAAAGUUGUAUGACUUCCUCAUUUUCAGAGGGAUUAGCAAAAUAAGAAACUUUUCAGGUGAUUAUUUCACUGUACCCUAUUCUCAGAAUGAAUGCAAGAUAAUUCAUGAGGUCUAAAACCUCAGCUGGUGAUCCAAGUUCAGUUCCUGGUAAGCUGUAUUUCAGCACAGAUGUUAAAACCAGAACUGAUUAAAAAAAACCCACAAAAAAACAACCAUCAAACCCCAAAUAACCCCCUUGAAUGCUGUAAAACAGAUUUAUUUACUUUUGUCUCCUAGCAGGAAGUUUCACUGAAAGGCAGACAUACAGAUUUAAAACUGCUGUGAGAUACAUGUGGAUGCACACAGGUAGCGAAGAGUAAUUAGAAGCCCCAACUGCUAAAGAUCUCGUUAGUUGCCCCAAACCCAAGAAACUCCCGAUCGCUAACACAACCCUCAGCCAAGUCUGCUGUUUGUGGAGACAGUCUCAUCACCCAUAAGCUUUUCAGCACUUAAAUGGCUGUUGGUCUCUUGGUUAAUCAGCAUUUCUGAACACAUCCUUGCAUCUAUACUUUUCAACUAUGUUUUGGUAUUCUAUACGUUUGAUACUGCACAUGUGAUCAGUAUGUCAGACUACACUCUAAUACAGCUUUUAGUUGCAAAAACUAACAGGGACACUCUUCAGUUGCAUCCACAAGUCAGGUCAGUGUCUAACUGCUUCCAAAUCGGCCCAAGCAGAACAGGUGGACGCCUGACAAAGGUAAGUUCUUUUUGCAAACCAUAACGUAAGAUGAUUACGUUUAUGAUAUCAAACCUCUGAGAUGCACUUCAUUCUACUGUUACACAAUUGUACUCUGAUGGAAAGUACUUCCACGGGCGUUAGUUUCCAUGACAAAUAAUGUCUGUGCGUGUGUUCAUCUACAUGCUCUUACCUCAGCUAAUUAGGCAUCUGUUCCUUGUCUGCUGGGUUCCUAGUUGGAGACUGAAAAGAAACAGAUGCAAUUAAUAAAUAGUCAUGUAUAUCAGUGAUAAAUCAGACCAGUGCAGAAUGGAUUUCAAAGCUGAAUAAUUCACAAAAUACAUACCUAGGAUGAAUCGCUUUUUAUGUUUUACUUCACAUACUACACAUGUCCCUGGGAGCAGUGGAGCAAGAGGAGUCCAUAAAAAAGGCAGGUGUUGUGUGGGAGAGUGACAUGAGUCGGAUUUUGUGCAAAUCUAACAGCAUGGCUGGUCUUUAUUGGUGGCAGUUAGGAGAGGCUGAGGUACAAGGAUAUCCAGUUGUCUUGGUGACCUCCGCAGUCAACAGUGUGUCUGGGGGCUUGCCUCAUGAAGAUUUAGUGACAAAUAGACAGGAAACUGAUCUUUUGUUAUUUUCUUGCUGUUAAAUUUGAGCAUAGUGUGAAGCUACAAAAUACUUAAGAAACUGGAAAUAAGCCAGGCUAAAGAUGUAGCUUCACAAGUUCAAUGGGCACCAAUAAAUAGUAUUUUAAAGACUAGAGGUCCUGUGAAAUGUAUGUGGCUGAAGUCAUGAAGAAAAGGAAGUCUUCUCUAUGACUUCCAUACUCCCCACACGUACAAAACCUUCUCUGUGCUUUAGGAUCCUGAGUUAUUUCAGCUUUGCUAACUGGGUUGAGUUCCCAUGGAUUCAAAUGUCAAAAUUAGGGUCUGUCUCUGUUCAUCUUCCUAUUGAUCUGUCAGAGACAAUGGAACUUGUGCAAAAUUAAGCGCUACUGUUUCAGUUUUCAGGGAGCUCUACUUAGACACUACCUGCAAGUUGGAGUGACAUCAGCUGAUGAAUAAGCAAUCUGCUAGCAACUUGGACUAAAAACAAGGCAUCUACAAAUCUGGAAGAAGAAAUUCUGUGGAGGAUGCCUUUACCACAGUGGACCUGGUUGUCAGUAUUAAACACCCUAUAGCAACACACAGUAAAGUUGUCCUCCUUGGCUAUGAAGGCCACUUCCAGGGCUUCUGAUGUGACCUCUUUGAAUCCUCAAGCAAGUCUUCAAAAACUGUCUAUGAAAAAGACAAUCCAAAUCCUGAUUUCAAACAUGGAAUCUGGAGAGGGAGGCCCAUGUUUUUAAAGGUAGAGCUGGUGAGUCCGCAUAGAGACGUGAAAACUAGAAUUAAUUAAACAAAUCAGAGAACUGCUAACUUCAUACGUACCGCUUUAUUAAAUGGCAUGUGGAACAAGAAGUCUCUAAAAUUGAUGCUCUCUGGUCUUAUUUCCUUAGGAACUACGAAAGAGAAAAGAAAAUGAUUGUAAUUUUUGUUUCAGGCAAUUUCUUAAUUACAUAUUAUAUUAUGUAUAUAAAAUGUAUAUCAUUACAUAUUAUUAUUAUGCAUAUAAUAAUGUAUAUUUUUUUAUAUAUUAUUAAAAUAUGUCAGACUUAGGUCCUGGUGUUCUGA